rnacentral:tRNA from 1 species
AAUUUGGCANANAAAAUGCAACUGAUUUAGAAUCAGUAGAUGGUGGUCACAUCAGUU